UGUCCAGACUCCUACGGGAGGCAGCAGUGGGGGAUAUUGCACAAUGGGGGAAACCCUGAUGCAGCGACGCCGCGUGUGGGAAGACGGUCCUCUGGAUUGUAAACCACUGUCCCCAGGGACGAAAAUGACGGUACCUGGGGAGGAAGCUCCAGCUAACUACGUGCCAGCAGCCGCGGUAAUACGUAGGGAGCGAGCGUUGUCCGGAAUUACUGGGUGUAAAGGGAGCGUAGGCGGGGAUGCAAGUUGGGUGUCAAAACUACCGGCUCAACUGGUAGUCGCACUCAAAACUGCAGCUCUUGAGUGAAGUAGAGGCAGGCGGAAUUCCUAGUGUAGCGGUGAAAUGCGUAGAUAUACGGAGGAGCACCAGUGGCGAAGGCGGAUUGCUGGACAGUAACUGACGCUGAGGCGCGAAAGCGUGGGGAGCAAACAGGAUUAGAUACCCCGGUAAA
rnacentral:rRNA from 1 species